rnacentral:rRNA from 1 species
UACGGAGGAUGCGAGCGUUAUCCGGAUUUAUUGGGUUUAAAGGGUGCGUAGGCGGCUUAGUAAGUCAGCGGUGAAAUUUUGCAGCUUAACUGUAACAGUGCCGUUGAUACUGCCAGGCUAGGAUUUGGUUGCUGUGGGUGGAAUGUGCGGUGUAGCGGUGAAAUGCUUAGAUAUCACACAGAAUAUCGAUUGCGAAGGCAGCUCACAAAAGCCAAGAUUGACGCUGAGGCACGAAAGUGUGGGGAUCAAACA